CUCACUCUUGCUAAGUUAAUUAGUUCAAAUUCCUCACAUCACAGCAGCAUGGCAAUUACAAGAAUUUCUCAAGUGUCUCUACUUCUUCUAAUCCUAUUAUUCUCCAACUCCUUCAUCAUGUUGAAGGCUCGCAGCUUCCACCCCAAAAACAUUCACAAGAAUAGUAAUGUAGAUAGCUAUAAACUAUUUCGAAAACUAGGCUUUGAUCACUAUGCAUCAACAAAGCAUAUCCAUUUCCAUAUUCGAGAUGGUGGUGGUGAUGAGUUGCAUCAUCCAGGGGAUAGACUCUCACCAGGAGGACCAAAUCCACAUCAUAAUGCCGAACCACCAAGCAAUAAGUAGCUUUGUUUUUUUGGGUGUUAUUAUAUAUGCUUUUGUCAUAUACAAAACAACAUAGAAAUUUUCGUUGUUCUUAUCGGGAUCGAGCUUGCUUUCCAGGUUCACAUCUCGCUUUAAUUUGUAGUAUUUUCAAUUAAAUAGGCCUGCAUAUGUUUUCAAAUUAAGCCUUAUGUUAUGGAGCUUAUAUAGAGAGAUAUAUGUAGGUUUGUUUGGUGAUAAAAAUUCAGAUGCAGUUACCUUCACGUGAAAUUAAUAGUUGAAAAUUAUUAAAUAAUUUGAUAAGUAUAAUUAAAUUAUUAUCUAAAAUUCUCAACUAUUAAUUUUACAUGCAGUUAACUACCUCUAAAUUUCUACCUUGUUUGACAGUGUCUCUCGUUACGUUAUGGUUUUUGUCUAUUUGAUUUUUUUUUUAUCUGUGCUUUUGCUCUUUGAGACGGUGUAAGAAGAGUUUAGUGAAGAGGCUUUCUAUUUAUGAGCAUUUUGUGUUGUCAUUUUAC
rnacentral:lncRNA from 1 species